GAACGCUGGCGGAAUGCUUUACACAUGCAAGUCGAACGGCAGCACGGACUUCGGUCUGGUGGCGAGUGGCGAACGGGUGAGUAAUAUAUCGGAACGUAUCCAAUAAUGGGGGAUAACUAAUCGAAAGGUUGGCUAAUACCGCAUACGCCCUACGGGGGAAAGCUAGGGAUCUUCGGACCUGGCGUUAAUGGAGCGGCCGAUAUCUGAUUAGCUAGUUGGUGAGGUAAAGGCUCACCAAGGCGACGAUCAGUAGCUGGUCUGAGAGGACGACCAGCCACACUGGAACUGAGACACGGUCCAGACUCCUACGGGAGGCAGCAGUGGGGAAUUUUGGACAAUGGGCGAAAGCCUGAUCCAGCCAUUCCGCGUGAGUGAAGAAGGCCUUCGGGUUGUAAAGCUCUUUCGCAAGGGAAGAAAACUUAUCCUCUAACAUAGGAUGAGGUUGACGGUACCUUGAUAAGAAGCACCGGCUAACUACGUGCCAGCAGCCGCGGUAAUACGUAGGGUGCGAGCGUUAAUCGGAAUUACUGGGCGUAAAGCGUGCGCAGGCGGUUUUGUAAGUCAGAUGUGAAAUCCCCGAGCUCAACUUGGGAACUGCGUUUGAAACUACAAGACUAGAAUAUGUCAGAGGGGGGUAGAAUUCCACGUGUAGCAGUGAAAUGCGUAGAGAUGUGGAGGAAUACCAAUGGCGAAGGCAGCCCCCUGGGAUAACACUGACGCUCAUGCACGAAAGCGUGGGGAGCAAACAGGAUUAGAUACCCUGGUAGUCCACGCCCUAAACGAUGUCAACUAGUUGUUGGUAGAGUAAAAUCUAUGAGUAACGUAGCUAACGCGUGAAGUUGACCGCCUGGGGAGUACGGUCGCAAGAUUAAAACUCAAAUGAAUUGACGGGGGCCCGCACAAGCGGUGGAUUAUGUGGAUUAAUUCGAUGCAACGCGAAAAACCUUACCUGGCCUUGACAUGUAACGAACUUUCCAGAGAUGGAUUGGUGCUCGAAAGAGAACGUUAACACAGGUGCUGCAUGGCUGUCGUCAGCUCGUGUCGUGAGAUGUUGGGUUAAGUCCCGCAACGAGCGCAACCCUCACUUUUAGUUGCCAUCAUUAAGUUGGGCACUCUGAAAGAACUGCCAGUGAUAAGCUGGAGGAAGGUGGGGAUGACGUCAAGUCCUCAUGGCCCUUACGUGUUGGGCUACACACGUGCUACAAUGGUAUCUACAACAGGAAGCAAAACUGCGAAGUUAAGCAAAUCCCUAAAAGAUACCUCAGUUCGGAUUGCACUCUGCAACUCGAGUGCAUGAAGCUGGAAUUACUAGUAAUCGUGGAUCAGCGUGCCACGGUGAAUGCGUUCCCGGGUCUUGUACACACCGCCCGUCACACCAUGGGAGUUGGUUGCAAAAGAAGUGGGUAGUCUAACUUCGGAGGACGCUCACCACUUUGUGAUUCAUGACUGGGGUGAAGUCAUAACAAGGUAACCGUA
rnacentral:rRNA from 1 species